rnacentral:rRNA from 1 species
GUAGGUGACCUGCGGAAGGAUCAUUAUCGAGUUUUGAACGGGUUGUAGCUGGCCUUUAACGAGGCAUGUGCACACCUGGCUCAUCCACUCUCAACCUCUGUGCACUUUAUGUAAGAAACGGUGUAAGCCAGCUAUUUAAUAGUUGGUAACAAGCCUUUCUUAUGUUUACUACAAACGCUUCAGUUAUAGAAUGUUUACUGUGUAUAACACAAUUAUAUACAACUUUCAGCAACGGAUCUCUUGGCUCUCGCAUCGAUGAAGAACGCAGCGAAAUGCGAUAAGUAAUGUGAAUUGCAGAAUUCAGUGAAUCAUCGAAUCUUUGAACGCACCUUGCACUCCUUGGUAUUCCGAGGAGUAUGCCUGUUUGAGUCUCAUGGAAUUCUCAACCCCUAAGUUUUGUAAUGAAGUUUAGUGGGCUUGGACUUGGAGGUUGUGUCGGCUUCUAGUCGACUCCUCUGAAAUGCAUUAGCGUGAAUCUUACGGAUCGCCUUCAGUGUGAUAAUUAUCUGCGCUGUGGUGUUGAAGUAUUUAUUAGUUCAUGCUUAUAGUCGUCUCUUACCGAGACAAUUUAUGACAAUCUGAGCUCAAAUCAGGUAGGACUACCCGCUGAACUUAAGCAUAUCAAUAAGCGGAGGAAAAGAAACUAACAAGGAUUCCCCUAGUAACUGCGAGUGAAGCGGGAAAAGCUCAAAUUUAAAAUCUGGCGGCUUUGGUCGUCCGAGUUGUAUCCUAGAGAAGUGUUUUCCGCGUUGGACCGUGUAUAAGUCUCUUGGAACAGAGCGUCAUAGAGGGUGAGAAUCCCGUCUUUGACACGGACUACCAAUGCUUUGUGAUACACUCUCAAAGAGUCGAGUUGUUUGGGAAUGCAGCUCAAAAUGGGUGGUAAAUUCCAUCUAAAGCUAAAUAUUGGCGAGAGACCGAUAGCGAACAAGUACCGUGAGGGAAAGAUGAAAAGCACUUUGGAAAGAGAGUUAAACAGUACGUGAAAUUGCUGAAAGGGAAACGAUUGAAGUCAGUCGCGUUAGCUAGAACUCAACCAGGCUUGCUUGGCGUAUUUUCUAGUUAACGGGCCAGCAUCAGUUUUGACCGCAGGAAAAAGGCCAGAGAAAUGUGGCACCUUCGGGUGUGUUAUAGUCUUUGGUCAUAUACUGCGAUUGGGACUGAGGUUCGCAGCACGCGCAAGCUGUGCUAGGAUGC